GGUCAAGUAGCUCUCAACAAGAGUACUUCAGAUCAGUGGAAAUACUCCUGUAAAACAUGUAAGGCAAGAAAUACCAAGAACUGCCAACAGAAACACGGAUCUUCAUGGCUGCCACAGGACUGUCAGCCUGAAGGAAAUGCAGCAAUUCCAACAGGAAGCAAUGAAGUUUUUGUCAAUGCAUCCCGACAUUUUGCAAGUACUUUCAAAACCCUCCCUCCUGCACACUAAGGAGGAUCUUCCCUCCUUUGCAAAGGCAUGCUCCUCCCUCAUCUCCCCCCACCCCUGCUGCUGCAGAGAUUUUUCCAGCUCCUUGAAGCCACAGUGGACUGAGAAAGAAAAGGAUAUUAUCUGGAGGAGGCUAAUAUAGCCAAGAUCUACAGUAGAAGAACCAGGAAUGCACAUGAGCCAUGAAGGGAACCAUGGAGAAAGUAUCCAGAUACCAAGCUCGAGUAUUCUGUCUCUGCUGGAUUUACCAUAGGGUCUGUUUAUAUGUACUUGUUAGUUUCUGUACUCUUUCCUCAUAUGUAUGAGAGAGGCAUCCUCCAAUAUCACUACUGCCUUGAGCAAUAAAAAAAGCAAUCACUGUA